GAUGCCCUGCCCAGUGAGGAGGACUCUAGAGAGACAAUCUGACCACAGCUGCUUUGCCGCACUAUGAAGGAAAACAAAAAGAUGCCUUAGUUCCAUGGAAGGCUGCUCUGAGGGAUAUUCUGCUAAGUGGCAUCCAGACAGAACACGGAGAAGCUCCUCGAUUGCGUCUCUCCCCUGCCUUAUUGUUUCCUGCUGCCCUUGACACUCCACUGUUUGGGCUAUUGCAAGGUUAGAAGGAUGCUCACGACCAACGAGACAGAGUCCUUUGCAUAUGGCCUUGAGGAUGUGUGCUUCUGAAAUCUAACAAAGCUUCUACCAUGCUUCUCCACCAUCUAGGAAAACAAGAAAUGAAGUUUCCUGGAGAGCUUGGAUUUCCC
rnacentral:lncRNA from 1 species